CUCAGGAUGAACGCUGGCGGCGUGCUUAACACAUGCAAGUCGAACGAGCCUUCGGGCUAGUGGCGGACGGGUGAGUAACGCGUGAGAAUCUGCCCUCAGGAGGGGGAUAACGGCUGGAAACGGCCGCUAAUACCCCAUAUGCCGCGAGGUGAAAUGAGAAAUCGCCUGAGGAUGAGCUCGCGUCUGAUUAGCUAGUUGGUGGGGUAAGAGCCUACCAAGGCAUCGAUCAGUAGCUGGUCUGAGAGGAUGAUCAGCCACACUGGGACUGAGACACGGCCCAGACUCCUACGGGAGGCAGCAGUGGGGAAUUUUCCGCAAUGGGCGCAAGCCUGACGGAGCAACGCCGCGUGAGGGAUGAAGGCCUCUGGGCUGUAAACCUCUUUUCUCAAGGAAGAAGAACUGACGGUACUUGAGGAAUAAGCCACGGCUAAUUCCGUGCCAGCAGCCGCGGUAAUACGGGAGUGGCAAGCGUUAUCCGGAAUUAUUGGGCGUAAAGCGUCCGCAGGCGGUCUUGAAAGUCUGUUGUUAAAGCGUGGAGCUCAACUCCAUUUCAGCAAUGGAAACUAGAAGACUAGAGUGUGGUAGGGGCAGAGGGAAUUCCCGGUGUAGCGGUGAAAUGCGUAGAUAUCGGGAAGAACACCAGUGGCGAAGGCGCUCUGCUGGGCCAUAACUGACGCUCAUGGACGAAAGCCAGGGGAGCGAAAGGGAUUAGAUACCCCUGUAGUCCUGGCCGUAAACGAUGAACACUAGGUGUCGGGGGAAUCGACCCCCUCGGUGUCGUAGCCAACGCGUUAAGUGUUCCGCCUGGGGAGUACGCACGCAAGUGUGAAACUCAAAGGAAUUGACGGGGGCCCGCACAAGCGGUGGAGUAUGUGGUUUAAUUCGAUGCAACGCGAAGAACCUUACCAGGGUUUGACAUCCUGCGAAUCUUUUGGAAACAGAAGAGUGCCUUCGGGAGCGCAGAGACAGGUGGUGCAUGGCUGUCGUCAGCUCGUGUCGUGAGAUGUUGGGUUAAGUCCCGCAACGAGCGCAACCCACGUCUUUAGUUGCCAGCAUUGAGUUGGGCACUCUAGAGAGACCGCCGGUGAUAAACCGGAGGAAGGUGUGGAUGACGUCAAGUCAUCAUGCCCCUUACAUCCUGGGCUACACACGUACUACAAUGCUACGGACAGAGGGCAGCAAACUCGCGAGAGCUAGCAAAUCCCAUAAACCGUGGCUCAGUUCAGAUCGUAGGCUGCAACUCGCCUACGUGAAGGAGGAAUCGCUAGUAAUCGCAGGUCAGCAUACUGCGGUGAAUACGUUCCCGGGCCUUGUACACACCGCCCGUCACACCAUGGAAGUUGGCCAUGCCCGAAGUCGUUACUCCAACC
rnacentral:rRNA from 1 species